rnacentral:rRNA from 1 species
UCUGGUUGAUCCUGCCAGUAGUUAUAUGCUUGUCUCAAAGAUUAAGCCAUGCAUGUCUAAGUACACACGAAUUAAAAGUGAAACCGCAAAAGGCUCAUUAUAUCAGUUAUGGUUCCUUAGAUCGUUAACAGUUACUUGGAUAACUGUGGUAAUUCUAGAGCUAAUACAUGCAAUUAAAACAUGAACCUUAUGGGACAUGUGCUUUUAUUAGGCUAAAACCAAGCGAUCGCAAGAUCGUUAUAUUGGUUGAACUCUAGAUAACAUGCAGAUCGUAUGGUCUUGUACCGACGACAGAUCUUUCAAAUGUCUGCCCUAUCAACUUUUGAUGGUAGUAUCUAGGACUACCAUGGUUGCAACGGGUAACGGGGAAUCAGGGUUCGAUUCCGGAGAGGGAGCCUGAGAAACGGCUACCACAUCUAAGGAAGGCAGCAGGCGCGUAAAUUACCCACUCCCAGCUCGGGGAGGUAGUGACGAAAAAUAACAAUACAGGACUCAUAUCCGAGGCCCUGUAAUUGGAAUGAGUACACUUUAAAUCCUUUAACAAGGACCAAUUGGAGGGCAAGUCUGGUGCCAGCAGCCGCGGUAAUUCCAGCUCCAAUAGCGUAUAUUAAAGUUGUUGCGGUUAAAACGUUCGUAGUUGAACUUGUGCUUCAUACGGGUAGUACAACUUACAAUUGUGGUUAGUACUAUACCUUUAUGUAUGUAAGCGUAUUACCGGUGGAGUUCUUAUAUGUGAUUAAAUACUUGUAUUUUUUCAUAUGUUCCUCCUAUUUAAAAACCUGCAUUAGUGCUCUUAAACGAGUGUUAUUGUGGGCCGGUACUAUUACUUUGAACAAAUUAGAGUGCUUAAAGCAGGCUUCAAAUGCCUGAAUAUUCUGUGCAUGGGAUAAUGAAAUAAGACCUCUGUUCUGCUUUCAUUGGUUUUCAGAUCAAGAGGUAAUGAUUAAUAGAAGCAGUUUGGGGGCAUUAGUAUUACGACGCGAGAGGUGAAAUUCUUGGACCGUCGUAAGACUAACUUAAGCGAAAGCAUUUGCCAAAGAUGUUUUCAUUAAUCAAGAACGAAAGUUAGAGGUUCGAAGGCGAUCAGAUACCGCCCUAGUUCUAACCAUAAACGAUGCCAGCUAGCAAUUGGGUGUAGCUACUUUUAUGGCUCUCUCAGUCGCUUCCCGGGAAACCAAAGCUUUUGGGCUCCGGGGAAGUAUGGUUGCAAAGCUGAAACUUAAAGGAAUUGACGGAAGGGCACCACCAGGAGUGGAGCCUGCGG